AGGGCUGCCUAAAAGGGCAGCUCCCGUGGAAUAAAAUAAGGUGGGGAGCAUGCUUUACAUAUUUCUAAUCUCUCAAGGAAAUAUUAGAUUUUAUGGAGCAAUUCCUUCGUUUCCCUCAAAGACCACGGCUAACUUGUCCUAUUAGGGAAUCGAGACAUUAGAAACGUCUAUAGUUUAGCAAAUCUCAUUUUUCAAUGAUGGCGAUGUACUCCUAAUUACGGAAUAAGGAACUCGGCAGUGUUGUUCCUUUCUUAUAAUAUAUCACGAAGGAAUUCAAUUGUUGAGUCAUUCAAAUUGUCAUGAUUCCGCUGAUCCUAAUUUGGCCAACGAAUAAUCAUAUCAUAUAUAUCUACAUAGUAAAGCAGGUUUCUCCCCAUAAAUUCGAUUACUUUCUCGAGUAUAAUACGACUUAGUAGAGCUUUUUUGCAUUCUUUUUCCAGGAUUGAGGCUUCGUCGGGAUUCCUUUUGAGACACUGUUCGUUCAAGAGAGAGAGGAGCAUCCAAUGCUUGAAGAGUGUAGAUGGAGGGGGAAAGGCCAAGAUCCCAGCAUGGGACAAAAUCAGCCCACCCACUUUGCUCAGUUAGAGUCUCAACGAAGUUAACCUGCCACAGUCUGAUAAGUGGCUCUGGUGAGGCUUAAUCUCAGAAUUAGCUGGAUGAUUGUUGCAAUUGGCCUAACCAAGAAACAAACAACCAACUUCAAGGAGGAAAGGAAGAAGGUGUAAUGGCUACAAAUCAUCUCCUAGGUAAACAUCACUUACCCACCUUAAAAUAAACUCCAAAUCGUCAGUGGAUCUGUCCUUUGUUGAUUUUAUAGUAUUAGUACCAGCCUCGGCUGUCCAGCUAGAUUGGGUUAGAUAGUUAAUAUCAUCUGUUGAGACCUUACGUGGCAACCACCAAUCCAUUGACUGUGUCUAUAAAACCCAGCUUUAUGUUCAUUAAAUUAAUGUAUUUCACGACCUAAUAAAUCUGACGCUUCGGUCUCAACUACCUAGUGGCAAAAAUUGG